UACGGGGGGGGUAAGCGUUGUUCGGAAUUACUGGGCGUAAAGGGCUCGUAGGCGGCCAACUAAGUCAUACGUGAAAUCCCUCAGCUUAACUGGGGAACUGCGUGUGAUACUGGAUGGCUUGGAUUUGGGAGAGGGAUGCGGAAUUCCAGGUGUAGCGGUGAAAUGCGUAGAUAUCUGGAGGAACACCGGUGGCGAAGGCGGAUCUCUGGGCCUUACCUGACGCUCAGGCGCGAAAGCUAGGGGAGCGAACAGG
rnacentral:rRNA from 1 species